rnacentral:rRNA from 1 species
AACGAACGCUGGCGGCAUGCCUAACACAUGCAAGUCGAACGAGAUCUUCGGAUCUAGUGGCGCACGGGUGCGUAACGCGUGGGAAUCUGCCCCUUGCUUCGGAAUAACAGUGAGAAAUUACUGCUAAUACCGGAUGAUGUCUCCGGACCAAAGAUUUAUCGGCACGGGAUGAGCCCGCGUAGGAUUAGGUAGUUGGUUGGGUAAUGGCCUACCAAGCCGACGAUCCUUAGCUGGUCUGAGAGGAUGAUCAGCCACACUGGGACUGAGACACGGCCCAGACUCCUACGGGAGGCAGCAGUGGGGAAUAUUGGACAAUGGGCGAAAGCCUGAUCCAGCAAUGCCGCGUGAGUGAUGAAGGCCUUAGGGUUGUAAAGCUCUUUUACCAGGGAUGAUAAUGACAGUACCUGGAGAAUAAGCCCCGGCUAACUCCGUG